GCAUUGGUGGUUCAGUGGUAGAAUUCUAGCAUGCCAUGUUGGAGGCCUGGGUUCGAUUCCCAGCCAAUGCA
rnacentral:tRNA from 1 species